rnacentral:rRNA from 1 species
GGGGAAUUUUCCGCAAUGGGCGCAAGCCUGACGGAGCAACGCCGCGUGAGGGAGGAAGGCCUGUGGGUUGUAAACCUCUUUUCUCAAGGAAGAACACAAUGACGGUACUUGAGGAAUCAGCAUCGGCUAACUCCGUGCCAGCAGCCGCGGUAAGACGGAGGAUGCAAGCGUUAUCCGGAAUUAUUGGGCGUAAAGCGUCCGUAGGUGGUUAUAAAAGUCUGUUGUUAAAGCCCACAGCUCAACUGUGGAUCGGCAAUGGAAACUGUAUGACUUGAGUGUGGUAGGGGUAGAGAGAAUUCCUAGUGUAGCGGUGAAAUGCGUAGAUAUUAGGAAGAACACCAGUGGCGAAGGCGCUCUACUGGGCCAUAACUGACACUGAUGGACGAAAGCUAGGGGAGCGAAAGGGAUUAGAUACCCCUGUAGUC